rnacentral:rRNA from 1 species
CCUACGGGUGGCAGCAGUGGGGGAUAUUGCACAAUGGGGGAAACCCUGAUGCAGCGACGCCGCGUGUGGGAAGACGGUCCUCUGGAUUGUAAACCACUGUCCCCAGGGACGAAGAUGACGGUACCUGGGGAGGAAGCUCCGGCUAACUACGUGCCAGCAGCCGCGGUAAUACGUAGGGAGCGAGCGUUGUCCGGAAUUACUGGGGGUAAGGGGAGCGUAGGCGGGACUGCAAGUUGGGUGUAAAAUCUACCGGCUCAACCGGUAGCCGCACUCAAAACUGCAGUUCUUGAGUGAAGUAGAGGCAGGCGGAAUUCCUAGUGUGGCGGUGAAAUGCGUAGAUAUUAGGAGGAACACCAGUGGCGAAGGCGGCCUGCUGGGCUUUUACUGACGCUGAGGCUCGAAAGUGUGGGGAGCAAACAGGAUUAGAUACCCCUGUAGUC